rnacentral:lncRNA from 1 species
UGAAUGAAUGAGGAAAACUGAUGUAGGACUUAUUCCAUUUCAGUUCCUACAGACAGGAGAGGAAGUGCUACAAUGUUGUCUGAGCUGAAUAUGUCCAUCUGCACAGGAGUCUCUGGUCUAGCUGAAGAAGACCUGUGGGCCAGACUAGUAAUCAAAACCUUUUGGUGGAUUGCCCAGUUCACCUCACUCAGCCAAGAUGUACUCCUUUACAUCCAAGGCAUCAGGCCAAGGUCAUUUUCUGGUGUUUUUAGUGGCUGAUAUCAACAGCAUUACUGAGACACCUUGUGGGAGAGAUUGGGGUCCCUGGAGUUCACCAAAAAUUUCAGUAGGCAAAAGCCCAAAGAAGGUGUUUUCCCCAUUUGGGGAAAAGAAGUGAAGAAUCUCAUAGAACCACUUUCUUUUGCUUCUGACCCAAAUCGGAAAGUGCUCCUGCAGCCUG